rnacentral:rRNA from 1 species
AGUGAACGCUGGCGGUAGGCCUAACACGUGCAAGUCGAACGGCAGCACAGUAAGAGCUUGCUCUUACGGGUGGCGAGUGGCGGACGGGUGAGGAAUACAUCGGAAUCUACUUUUUCGUGGGGGAUAACGUAGGGAAACUUACGCUAAUACCGCAUACGACCUACGGGUGAAAGCAGGGGAUCUUCGGACCUUGCGCGAUUGAAUGAGCCGAUGUCGGAUUAGCUAGUUGGCGGGGUAAAGGCCCACCAAGGCGACGAUCCGUAGCUGGUCUGAGAGGAUGAUCAGCCACACUGGAACUGAGACACGGUCCAGACUCCUACGGGAGGCAGCAGUGGGGAAUAUUGGACAAUGGGCGCAAGCCUGAUCCAGCCAUACCGCGUGGGUGAAGAAGGCCUUCGGGUUGUAAAGCCCUUUUGUUGGGAAAGAAAAGCAGCAGGUUAAUACCCCGCUGUUCUGACGGUACCCAAAGAACAAGCACCGGCUAACUUCGUG